UGUGAAGGUUCUAUGCCCCAGUAUAGGGGAAUACCAGUGAAAACAGACUGGACCUUGCCUUGAAUGAACGUCUCCAUGUGCGCUAACAGCCAUUCUGCUGCACAUUGCCUAUGCACAGCCAACUGCUACCCCAUCACUGAUCAAGUAUUUCAUUCUUUUCUUGCUGAUAAAGUUUCCAUGUAGUUAACAUGACUCCUAUUUUCUUCACCAUCUACUCCGCUUUAGGAAUUGGACAAUGAACCAACAAGAAUAAACACAGAGACUGGAGAACCACCAACAAGAAGUUACAGGUCCUGGAGGAAGGAGGGUGCCUAACACUAAGCAUCCAACACAACUGACAUCCUUCCUUCUAGUCUGGGUGUGACUCAGUCUUAGUGCUUCCUGCCCCUCCCAGUUUUAUCCUUUCCUGAAGGGAUAGAGAAUCUUCAGUGUCAGCUUGAGUGGAUCUGGAGUCACUUGGGAGAUUGGAGCACAACUCUAGGUGCCUCUAAGAGGACAUUUCAGAGGAUUAACUGAAGAGGAAGAGUCCUCCUACGUGUGUGUGGCACCAUCCCAAGUCUGGGUGGUAGACAGAAUGAGGUGGGGGGGGGGGACAGGGGCCAUCCUGAUCUGCAGAGCGUUAACCGGCAACCUCAUGCUCCUGACUGGAGCUGACUUCACAGCUGCAGCCCUGCCUUCCUCACUGGAUAGACUACAUCUUCAAAUUGGGCAUCAGAAUGAAUCCUGAAUUCCUUAAGAAUCUUCUUGUCAACCAUGUGGCUGCAUAAUGAGAGACGUAGCAGGCAAAACCUUCCUCUUAUGCACCUGCUUUAUUGACUUUUGUCCAAUAUUGCUUUUGGAGAUAUGGAAAUAUCUUAGAAGUUAUUCUAUAAUUUGUCUUAGUA